AACUUCCUGUUUGAUAAAACCAGAAAGAGACACAGAGAGAAGGAACAAACGGGGUCAGAACCAAACAAAAUCAGGCCAGAAAAGAAGAAGAGAGGAAGAAGAGGAACGCUGCCGUAGCAACUGAAGCAACAGCAGCAACAGCAGCAACAGCAACAUGGAGCAGCAGCAGGACAGACACGUUCAGCUGAAUGAUGGCAACCGCAUGCCGCUGCUGGGCCUGGGGACAUGGAAGGCCUUCCAUCAGGCGCCCGUCCAGCCCGCUGUGGAGGCCGCCAUCGCCGCCGGUUACCGCCACAUUGACACCGCCUUCAGCUACGGGAACGAGGUGGAGGUUGGCAAAGCGCUGCGCUCCAAGAUGGAGCAGGGCAUCAUCCGGCGGGAGGAUGUGUUCGUCGUCACCAAGCUAUGGUGCACGCACUUUGAGCCUGAGGACAUCCCCGUCUGCCUCAACCGCUCCCUGCAGGACCUGCAGCUGGAUUACCUGGACCUGUACCUCAUCCACUUCCCCGUCGGCUUCAAGGUCAGAUCAGAGAAAUCGGGAGACGAUCUGUUUCCAAGGAAGGACGGGAAGAUUGUGACGUCGGACACGGACUACGUGGACGUGUGGCGGGGUCUGGAGGCGCUGCAGGCUGCCGGCAGGGUGAGGAGUAUCGGCGUGUCCAACUUCAGCGUCCUGCAGCUGGAGCGCCUGCUGGCCCUCUGCAGGGUUCCUCCUGCUGUCAACCAGGUGGAGCUCCAUCCCUACAUGGUCCAGAAGGAUCUGGUCGAGUACUGCAGGUCCAAAAAAAUCGUGCUGACGGCCUACAGCCCCUUUGGCUCCCCUGGAAGACCCUCAGAGUUGAAGAGAGGCGAGGCCGACCCCCACAAGCUGCUGCAGGACCCGGUGGUCGCCGCCAUCGCAGGGAAGCACCGCCGCAGCCCGGCACAGGUUCUGCUGAGGUUUCAUGUGCAGCAGGGAAUCCCAGUCAUUCCUAAAAGUGACAAACCUCAUCACAUCCUGGAGAACACUAAGGUAAAGCCCAACAGAACCGGUCCAGAACCGUUUCCUCAGAUCCUCCCAGAGAGCCCCCGCCUCGGCCCAAAGCUUCCUGCCAGAGAUUCAUUCAGCUACCGAGAACGACCGGGAGGAAACCCAACGGCGAGACGCGCCUGCCGACCCCGUCGCCGGGCAUGCCGUCACUAGACAUGCCGACCCCGACCCCGUCACCGGGCAUGCCGACCCCGUCGCCGGGCAUGCCGACCCCGUCGCCGGGCAUGCCGACCCCGUCGCCAGGCAUGCCGACCCCGUCGCCAGGCAUGCCGACCCCGACCCCAUUGCUAGGCAUGCCGACCCCGUCGCCGGGCAUGCCGACCCCGUCGCCGGGCAGGCCGACCCCGUCGCCGGGCAGGCCGACCCCGUCGCCGGGCAUGCCGACCCCGUCGCCAGGCAUGCCGACCUUUCAUAGAUUUUCCCCGACUCGGCGCCGCCGGGCGAGGCUCUCUGGGAAAACGGACCCGGUUCUACCAGAACUCCUUGAGGUUCUGAACCAGCCUGAACCUUGCAGGUCUUCGACUUCGACCUCGGCGAAGACGACAUGGACGCCCUGAGAGGCCUGGACCGCGGCUGGAAGGCCUGCUCUCUGGACGAAAUCAAGUCCCACCCCUACUACCCGUUCGAGUGACGGAGGGGGCGGAGCCAGCCGGACCGCAUGAUGGAGAUGAAGAACCACAUGACCCAAUCUGAAACAAAAACUUGGUUCUGGUGGUUCUGAUGCUUUUAUUACAGUACUGAGCACAUAAACCCCUCUGGAGUGUAAAGGUCCAGUCUGGCUGGUUCUGAUGAACCGCCAGAUUCGAUUCAUUUUUUAUACUUUGAUUCUUCCAGAGUUUCUGCUUAGAGCUAAAAAACAAAGUCUGUUCUGACCUCUGACCCGGAACCACAGACCUGGAACCAGAACCGUCGACCCGGCAUGCCGUCAUGUCGGCUUUCGGUUUCAAUCCGUCGGCCAUCUUUGAAUUUGCUGUUGAUUUUCUCAGAUACACACAAGCUCAAAUGUUUACAUACCCUCCCACUAAAUCUAAAUUCUUCCAGUCUAGAACCCGCCUGGUUCCGGGGUUCUUCUGGGUCCAACAACCAUAUUCUCAAUUCAGCUCAAACAGCAUGAUGCUGCCACUACCAUGCCUGGCAGCAGGUCCAGACAGAACCACAAGGUAUCAAAAGCUACUUGGUUCUGUCUGGACCUGCAGACCUGCUUCCUUCCCGUGGUUCUGGACCGCUCCGGAACAGAACCGUCUGCAGCGCUUUAGUUCUCCUGGAAACAUUUUAAAAAGCAAACAUCUGAUCAGAUUGUUUCUUCCUUUGAUCUUAAAUAAAUCUGAAGAAGCUGG